GGGGGCGAUUUGGAUUCGACCGGAUGACAAGAAGCGGCGGCCUGCGUGUCGUGGUUGAUCAGUUGGCCACGUAAAAAGCUGAUCAAACUUUUUAGUUGCAGACGAAAGUUUUGCACUGGCUGCCUAAGAACAGGCAACCCGGGUUGAUGGGGAUCGCCAAAGUCGCCUGAAAACCCGUCGUUAAUUUUGGCUGGCCCGCCGUCUUGGGUGAGACGCGGCGGGCGAGAUUUUGAUUCGCCCUAGCGAGCGACGGAGCCUGUCGAGCAGCGCCGUGGUGAGCGAAAUUCGGUCCGCUUGCGGACCAAAAUGGUUCGACUACACACGUAGACGGUCACGUGGAUGCAUCGCGGGACGCGGGUUCAAUUCCCGCCGCCUCCA
rnacentral:tmRNA from 1 species